UGUAGAAGUGCAGACGUGCUAUUGAUGUUAACUAUUCUUGGCUGGUUACAGUGGUUUAGUUGCAUCGAAAAUAUACAAAUACUCUACUAGCAAAGAGUUUCUCCAGAGUGAAGAUGGGGUUGAAUCCAAUAUGUGUUAUCGAAGGAACUCAAUGAUGGCUUCGUAUCUGCUUGUGAACGAUAGGUUUGGCUUUACUAAGGAGUGGAACAAUAUAUGUUA
rnacentral:lncRNA from 1 species